AAACCCUCCAAAUCUCCGCCCCCCACCUCCCCUCCCCGACGCCGAAAUCCCCCAAAUUCCACCCCCGCCUCCUCCUCCUCCUCGCGUCGCGAGAGAAUCCGAGGCGCGCGAGCGAGAGGAAGGAGAGAAGGUGAGAGCAGCGGCGGAGGGAGGAGAUGGAGUCGGAUCAGGGGAAGCUGUUCAUCGGCGGCAUCUCGUGGGAGACCACCGAGGAGAAGCUCCGCGACCACUUCGCCGCCUACGGCGACGUCUCCCAGGCCGCCGUCAUGCGCGACAAGCUCACCGGCCGCCCCCGCGGCUUCGGCUUCGUCGUCUUCUCCGACCCUUCCUCCGUCGACGCCGCCCUCGUCGACCCCCACACCCUCGACGGCCGCACGGUUGAUGUGAAGCGGGCGCUCUCGCGGGAGGAGCAGCAGGCCGCGAAGGCGGCGAACCCUAGCGCGGGGGGGAGGCACGCCUCCGGUGGGGGCGGUGGUGGGGGAGGCGCCGGUGGUGGUGGUGGUGGCGGCGGUGGUGACGCCGGCGGUGCGCGGACGAAGAAGAUCUUCGUCGGCGGGCUGCCCUCCAACCUGACGGAGGACGAGUUCCGGCAGUACUUCCAGACCUACGGGGUCGUCACCGACGUCGUCGUCAUGUACGACCAGAACACGCAGCGGCCGAGGGGGUUCGGGUUCAUCACCUUCGACGCGGAGGACGCCGUUGACCGCGUGCUGCACAAGACCUUCCAUGACCUGAGCGGGAAGAUGGUGGAGGUGAAGCGCGCCCUGCCCAGGGAGGCCAACCCUGGCUCCGGCAGUGGUGGCCGUUCCAUGGGAGGCGGCGGUGGGGGUUACCAGAGUAACAAUGGGCCGAACUCCAAUUCUGGGGGCUAUGAUAGCAGAGGUGACGCUAGCAGGUAUGGUCAGGCGCAGCAGGGUAGUGGUGGUUAUCCCGGUUAUGGUGCUGGAGGAUAUGGUGCUGGUACGGUUGGUUAUGGAUAUGGGCAUGCUAACCCUGGAACUGCGUAUGGGAAUUAUGGGGCUGGAGGAUUUGGAGGUGUUCCUGCUGGGUAUGGUGGGCAUUAUGGCAAUCCAAAUGCGCCUGGUUCAGGUUACCAGGGUGGUCCUCCAGGAGCAAACAGAGGACCAUGGGGUGGUCAAGCUCCGUCUGGUUAUGGCACUGGGAGUUAUGGUGGCAAUGCAGGCUAUGCUGCUUGGAACAACUCUUCUGCUGGAGGUAAUGCACCCACUAGUCAGGCCGCUGGUGCAGGCACAGGCUAUGGGAGCCAGGGCUAUGGAUAUGGUGGAUAUGGAGGAGAUGCAUCGUAUGGUAAUCAUGGUGGAUAUGGGGGUUAUGGAGGAAGGGGAGAUGGUGCUGGCAAUCCAGCUGCUGGCGGUGGAUCUGGGUAUGGUGCUGGCUAUGGAAGCGGGAAUGGCGGUUCUGGUUAUCCAAAUGCUUGGGCUGAUCCUUCACAAGGUGGAGGGUUUGGGGCUUCAGUCAAUGGAGUGUCUGAAGGCCAAUCAAAUUAUGGCAGUGGUUAUGGUGGUGUGCAACCUAGGGUUGCUCAGUAAAUGAGGCCAUUAGAGCAUCUAUGAGAUGAACCAGCAAAAUUGGGCAGUCUAUGUAUGUUGUGUUACCCUGGCCCCUCUGAUUGCUUUUGGCCUCUUGAAGAUCUCCCAUUUGCUGGUUAAAUCAGUAUUUCUCCGGGUUGGAUGCGAUGCCAUUUCCUUUUAGAGCAUGUCCAAGUGGGGCCUUUUGAAUCAACUGCCUGGCUGCCUGAGAAAUGGCAGAGACAUCGACUGAUUUUGCUUGAUGGGCUGACGAUUUCCAAUCUUGAAGCAUUUGACACAGAAAGCAAGCAUCUUGUUUUUAAGCGCUUCAUUUUCUGAAGGAUCUUGUGCUGUGCAACAAGAUGGUGGUAUGUGGAAUCAUGUUUCACUUUCAGUUUUAUUUGGAAAAGAAAAGCAUUUUCACCAUGGUACUUGUACCAGGAAAGUUGUUCAAGAUGCUAUCUGUCCUCAUUUUCCGUUCAAUUUAGUAAAUGGUAUAUUAUAGUUGAAAGAAAGCAUUACCAGCUACCAUAGGAAGUAUUAUGUUUUCAUUCAAAAUCUUGUCAAUUUUGGCCAGAGUUCCAUCCCCAAUGUACAGAUCGACAAUGGUGAAUUACUAUCAGUUUAGUAAAUAAUAAUAAAUUAGAAGGUUUUUCAAAAGAAUAAUUCCAUGAUCUAAUGUAUGUUUUUACCUUUUUAGAUACGCAUAUUUGCUAGUAAAACUAGUGAUGAAAGUUGUGUCAUGGAGAUCUAGGAAAAGAACAACACUUGUAUACCUAGAGGUGAUGCAUUUUUUGAAAAUCUGUUUUACUGGCUUAACAAAUUUAGUCACUAAUAAAACUAGUGAUGAAAGUUGUGUCAUGGAUUAGUGCACAAGUUUUGCAAACAGAAUUUGGCUUAAACAAACAGUUUGGAUGAGUAAUUCCUUAACUUUUUCCCCUUAUUUACUAAAUUGAUGAGCAUGAUUUAAGUUGUACUUACAGUCUUGCACACUGGCAUGAUGUUUUACAAGUUUUUGGAAGUACUGGAAACCUAGGAUCCAAUAUCCUAGUUUGAGAAAACAACACUCAUAUUGCUUGUUCCUGUUAAUAAGCCUGGGUAGCAUGUUCAUCGCUCAGCUAUGCCUUGCUCGGUUGCUAUUGUUGGAUGGAUAGAAGUGGAAAAAAGGGGGGGGAGGGAAUCAGUCUAUGAUUAUAUACUUGUAUGGUUCAAUGUAGAUUAAAAUCCAAGGCUUUGACUUAAGGUUCCUACACUUAUGUACUUCAUUGCAAAUUUAACUGUGCAUAUAGUACAUUACUAGCCAAGGUAGUCAAUACUCAAUAGUAUUAUAUAUUUCUUCAUAUUGAAUAAGGCUCGCUUCAUAGCUUAACAUAUAUGUACCACAAUUUUAUUGUCCACUACAUUAUAUAGUACAUAAUCACAAUUGCUUACCACUUGCUGUUUCUUGACUAUUAAACUAUUUAGAUUAAAAUGACCAAUAUUUUCUACCUUCUUUUGCAAAUCAGUUUCAUUACAGCACUUCUGUUAAACUAAAGGUAUACUAUAGGGUAGAUUUAAGGUUAUGUAGUUCUGUUUUGGCGUUUUGUUUGAACCAGUUGGAUUAGUAUUAUGAAUCCACAUCCUUAGUUUAUUUUAUUGCAGAACACAAAUAGUUGCAUGGCUUAUGCCUGUUGGAGUUAAUAGGUGUUAAGGUAAAACAUGUAAGUAAAAAAGGUUCUCCAGGACUUGCAAUGAUGCACCUGUACACUGGAUCAAUCUGAUGGACCAGUAUCUGACUUUAGAAAUGACAAUAACCACACUGAUUUAGGAGACUCAAGAGUCAAGAUAUUUACUGGGUGGAGAGAGAAAACAUUAGUGUUAGAUUUAACGGCUAAGCUUUGUGUUUGCAUUUAACCAUUUGUAAAUGUGAAAGCAAUACUAUUUUUGACAGAAAAAUACAAUUUUGAUUAGUGUAUCUCGCACGGUUAACUUGAUUAAGAUCUAAAAUACUGCAACUUCAUUUGUACUAACCAUUAGAUGAUUUAGUUGCUCAGUGCCUGUUUGGGACUUCAUGUGAUAUAAUAACAUAAUAUAACCAGAUCGGCUUAUAUAUUAACCUUGGAGCUCAAUCACUAAGUCUUCUUCUGUAUUAUGACAUGGAUAUUUGGAAAUGACCAAGUGCAAUUCGAUUUACAUGUUCUAUUUAUGCUAUUUCUUGGUGUUGCUUUAAAACAACCAUUUAAGUAAUAGCUAUGAGAAAUAAAUUAGUGCCACUUAUUUUUCAUGAUUUUCAAUAUAUUUUUUGCUUUGUUGCUGUCAAAUCUCUUAGUAAACCUGAUAAAGAUAUAAAAUUAGAAAUUUGACUGCAGAUGCCAUAUAUAGUGGAUAGCUUUAUUACCACACUGGUGCCAAGCAAACCAAGUCAUAGUCAGCCAAACAUCUUUGAUAUGUUUUUACUCGAGUAUCUGAAAUAACCAAACAUUUUGGAGAUAUGUUAUCAUCAUUCUAUUGACCUCUUUGCAUACCUUGUUUGCAUGGUAUCAAUGCAAUGGAAUAUGCCUUCGAGGACUUUGCUGAAAGAUCACCUGCAAGUACAUCAAAAAUCAAGAGAUGAUUCUGGCCGCCAUGUAUUAUGACCACAGUGACUCGUGCUCAUCCAAUAUUCUUCGUUUCUCGUAUCUUAAUGGAAACCCUCACAGUAGCGUUGCCACCUUAUAUCGAAGGACAAGUUGUUUGAAGUUGGCUACCAAUUGGUGCCCUACUUUACCAAUUGUCAGAUGGAAGGGUUGAGCGUACAUUAAUCUGGAGAUGCUUAUCGAGUUUGUUGCAUGACAAGUCAAUAUAUUCUAUUGAUGUGGCCAAUAUUUGCACGAUAUGAUUUCUUGGCAAGUUUUAGUAACAUUUUAACUCAUUCUUCCAGACAAUAGUGCAAAUCGCCGAACUCUCUAUUUUACUUGUUUUGUUGUCAUGGAUGAAAGGUUUGCAAGACUUUGUUCCA